rnacentral:rRNA from 1 species
GACGAACGCUGGCGGCGCGCUUAACACAUGCAAGUCGAACGGAAAGGCCUGCUUUCCCUUGUGGAUUGCGGGUACUCGAGUGGCGAACGGGUGAGUAACACGUGAGUGAUCUGCCCCCAACUUGGGUAUAAGCCUGGGAAACUGGGUCUAAUUCCCGAUAGGACUGCAGGGUGGUGCCUGUGGUGGAAAACGAUUUUCUAGUGGUUGGGGAUGAGCUCGCGGCCUAUCAGCUUGUUGGUGGGGUAAUGGCCUACCAAGGCGGCGACGGGUAGCCGGCCUGAGAGGGUGGACGGGCACAGUGGGACUGAGAUACGGCCCAGACUCCUACGGGAGGCAGCAGUGGGGAAUAUUGCACGAUGGGCGGAAGCCUGAUGCAGCGACGCCGCGUGGGGGAUGACGGCCUUCGGGUUGUAAACUCCUUUCGACCGCGAGGAAGCCACCUGGUUGGAAGGGUGGUGACGGUAGUGGUAGAAGAAGCACCGGCUAACUACGUG